GAUGAAGAACGUAGCGAAAUGCGAUAAGUAAUGUGAAUUGCAGAAUUCAGUGAAUCAUCGAAUCUUUGAACGCUCAUUGCGACCCUUGGUAUUCCGAGGGGCAUGCCUGUUCGAGCGUCAUUAUAACCCCUCAAGCUCAGCUUGGUGUUGGGGCCUGCUGCACUGGCAGCCCUUAAAAUCAGUGGCGGCGCCAUCUGGCUCUAAGCGUAGUAAUUCUUCUCGCUAUGGAGUCCUGGUGGAUGCUUGCCAUCAACCCCCAAUUUUUCUAUGGUUGACCUCGGAUCAGGUAGGGAUACCCGCUGAACUUAAGCAUAUCAAUAAGCGGAGGA
rnacentral:misc_RNA from 1 species